CCACGGCUGAAAGUAGUCCCCAACAAAUGCACGAUUUAGCCCUGUUUGACUAACAUUUGCUAAAAGCUACAGUGCCCCGCUGUUUUAGGACAUGACUGAGCCUUUUUAAAAAAAAAAAUAAAACUAUAUAUUUGUUGGUCUGUUUUUAAGAUUCUUCAGUCAAACUAAUUGGCUUUUGGGCUGACAGCCACAGACAGGAAAUUGGAAAGUUUUGAGAGACAGACUUGGUUUUGGUCUUUUGGUCUUAACCUUUUCUAGACUCAAUGGGAGUAAAAAUAGGCAGUUUGUUGCUGGAGGGCACUCUGCUCCACAACAGGAUCUAUUGUCACCCCUGCGUCUGUCUUCCACCAGCCUUUAAAGAGUUUUGUUUUCUAUUCAGCAAGUCAUUCAAUAGCCACAGGGAAAACUGAUGGUGUGUUGAGCACACAGUCAUCUUCUUGAAGACAAGAAUUGGCAGUUUGGGAGGUUGGCAUGGUUGACUCUUGUGAGCUUGACGUCGUGUCCUUAUGCGUUACACUUAAAAAACAUUACAGCACGUCAUGUUUUCAGCAGAGCCAUGUCUGACUAGGCUGUACUGUGUCUCAGUCUGCUGAUGACAGUUCAGAGUGUUCCCCUUUAGAAGUCAAAACAGCAUAUGAUUUGAUUUCAUGCUCUUUUAUCCUUUAACUAGCCUCAUAACAGGGACGGAAAAAGCAAUGAUGUGUGUGUGUGUGUGUGUGUGUAACAACUCUCCAUCAUCCCCUAGCAGAGGAUCCAUUAGCCUUCAACCCCCUCCCCGGUUGCCCAGUGAUAAAGUAAACAAAGUGUGUUUGACCAAUCCGGCACGCAAAUAUUUGUUCUGGAAGCCGCCUCAUCCGACGGGAGACACACACACACGUCUGCAGCCGUGUGCUGAGGUAUAUAUACAGUGACAAUCCUGACGGUCCAGGAUUACAUAUGCACACACACAUAAAGAAAAGUGGAUCCAUCAAUGACCCAGGCCAGACUGUUCCUUGGACUUCAACAUAGAUUCACCUGAACCUGGCGGCUAAUUGCACUUGGUUUUAAUAAUCCAACAUGGCGGCGGGCGUCAUCAGAAACUUCCUCGCGCAGGCCCCGACUCCAGCCUACUUCCCCCUGAUUUUCCAGCACUCUCCGUGCAAGGAAGACGAAGAGGAGAUGCUGGAGGAAAAACCAGAGGUGGGGGAAGAUGAAGAAGACAGUGAAGUAGAGGAGGAGGAGGAGGAUGAAUGUGAAGCUCAGGAGGAAGAGGAGGAAUGCUUAGAGGUUUUCUUAAACCCCGCCCACUACGCGUUGGACGUGACCAAGCAGCUGCUGAGGUUUGCAGAGCUCAUCAGCCGUGACGUGCAGCGGUAUUUCGGUCGCUGCUCUGGUGAUCAAGACGCUUGUGACAUCUACAGCGACUCGGUCUCCGUCACAACCAGCGGGCGUCUGCGUUACUAUGACGACCUGCUGAAAAUCGCAAGAGCAGGAAGUCCAGAGGAGCAAGAAAACAGCUCUGUGACAUGUGCCGAUGAUCAAGGAGUCGGGGUUGCUAAGGGCAACAGCGGUUUGGGGCCCCUGGCCGAACUGUUCGACCACAGCGGCCCGAGUCAGGCCCGCAGCCGACCGAUGAUCAAGCGGCAUCUCCCGCUCAGUUUCUGGACUGAGCCGAUCCCCUGCUGCUCUCUGCUCACCUUCAGUAACACACCCGACAGUGACGCGCCUUCACAGGACAGCACACACACAGACACUAACGCACACGUGCACUACAACCCGCCCCCGCACCACAGCACACACGCCCUCGACACCGCUCAGCCGGACUUCAGUGACUUGCUGGCAAACUGGGACCCAAACCCGGAGCUCACACACACACUGACGGAGAACACACACAUGCAGCAUUAAACGCAACACCAGCCUUUUCAACUGUGAUAGAUACUUAAAAAGGACAAAACAGAAACAAAUCAACAUGUGCUGUAUCAUUUACAAGUUCCAGUUCCUCUGGAUAAUCCACAGACCUAACAGUUUUCACUGCUGUUUACUGAAGAAAGACUUCCAAACAAACAAAUACUCUGGAUUAUCCAGAGAAACCUGGUUUCUCAACAGAUACACUGUUACUUUGCAAAAACCCUCCUUUUUAUCAAGUUGUUUUAUUCUGUAAUUAAGUCCUUCAUGGGUUUUUUUUUAAACAAGUGAAAAACCUAUCAAUGAUGUAAGAAUAUUUCAGCCUGUUUGUGAUGCAAAAUCUAAUUGUUUCAGAAAUUUUAUAAAAUUAAUUUUCAUUUUUCUUGUGUAAUUCUUUCUAGUUUUAAGUUUAAAGAGGAACUUCCCCUGAAAAUCUUACAUUUACAGGUGUUCUCCAAGACACCGUGACAUCACUGUCAGGUGUGGUUACAAGUACAACAGAGCACAUUUCUGACCACACCCAUCAGGUGAAAUUAAAAUUUAAAUUGAGAGAGGGGAGGGAAACACUGCUUUUCAGCCUCUUAGAUUAGAUUAUAAAGGGGUCAUCAGCCUCUGGAUUACCCCUUUAUUUUAUUUAAAGUAUUUGGGGGUAUUUUAUGCCUUUACUAGGUAACGACUUGCAACAGUGAUCCUCCAUCAGACUGGAGCCAGGGGCAUUUCAGUCCAUGGUCAGGACCUUGAACCCCUAGGCCGACAGUGCCCCCAUGGAGUACCCUUAUAAAGUCCUAAUUUAUUCAGAUGAUUGAAAAACAUUGGUCAGCGCAGAAAGUUUGAAUGGAAAUCAACUUGUUUCAAGUAUUUUUCACAGUCAAGUUACAUUUUGCUUGACUCUGUUGCAGCAAUGUUCCUAAUUCUUUCAUGUUUAAAAAAAAGGGAUAAAUUAUGGACAUGACUUGAUAAGACGGAGAUUUUUUUUAAGUGUAUUGACUUUUAAAAAUGAUUUACAGUUUGUCCCCAAACCUGAGUAUUGAAGCCUUUUAAAAAAGAGGAUGUUCCUGAGCCAGAGUCGGCUGUUUGAGUGGAACAAUUCCUCCAAUCCACUUUCAUGACCGGGGGUUUGGGAGAGGAAGGAGCGACAGGUGGAGGCUGAUACAAUCCCAGAGGACUCCGACUGCGCUUCAUCUCCGGAUCCCGCAGUUGUUGACUUAGCUCGCGAUGAAAACGUGUCUCUCAGAGAGGAGAUCCUCCAGCUGAGGAAACAAACUGAGUUUUUCACAAGGUUUGCAUCCUAUGACCUCAUGCACUUCUGGGUCUCAUUAAAGCCCUCGCUGACGUCUUUGUUCAGUGUGACACAAGCACAGAGAGACACCUUCACAGAGCCAAGUACUCUUCAUAAUAAUAAUAAUGAUAAUAAUAAGUUCCAUGGACCAUACAAUACAACUUGACAAAGAUCAGGGCUGAUGAAAUUAAAUUAAUUUGAGAGAAAUAUAAUGUACAUUUUCAUUUGUUUUGAACAGACUCAUUCAGACUGCAGUCCAUAGAUGAGAUGUUCGUGUUUCUGAACUAUCUUGCACUCUAUCUUGGUUCAAAACAGCGUGACCGAUAUGCAGUCCGUGGAAACGUGGAACAACUUUCUGCACACUGUGAGGAUCUGGAUACCAGAGGAGAAAAUAAGGGAACAUUUGCCAGCAGAGUUCAAGGACUAUGCAGACACUACAGUCAUCCAGAACUGCACGGAGCUGAGGUGCCCUUCAUCACCUCUUCUCCAAAGUGAAGUGUUCUCGCACUGUACUGCCGCAGGGCCUGCUUGGAGUUGCUCCUCAUGGGACGGCCACAUUCAUCUCUCCACUGUAUGCCUCAUUUAUCAGUGACAAACAGAUCAUGCGAGAGUCUGGAAUUCUCUCCCUUUUGAGACCUGAGGUGGCCAUCGUGGUCGACCGAGGUUUUCUCGUUGACGACUGUAAGAUCUAUAGCUAUAGGCCGGCAUUUCACUCUGGCAGAUCCCAGAUGUCUGCCUGUGAGGUCAGGGCCACUGCACGCGUCAGGGUGCAUGUGGAGUGCCUCAUACGCUGAGUGAAGUUCUUUUUGGCUACAUUAAUCGGCUCUAUACCGUUGCAUGUCUCCUGACAAACUAUGACAGUGGGCCUCUUGUAAAGGGUUGGGCAAAGAAGCCAGAGUAGCACUUGUAUAUUGCAUUUCCAUUUACGACAACGCUUUUAUCCAAAGCAACAUCAUCUGCUGGGCUUUUUCGAAGAUGGAAGAGGUGUUAGUCUCCCACCACCUCCACCCUCAAAAAAGCCUAGCAGAGGAUGUACCGUAUGUUGUCUUGAGGACAAAAUGUAAAUCUUGUAAACAGCAGUUAUCUGUAUAUACUUACAUGUAAUCUGUUUUA